rnacentral:misc_RNA from 1 species
AAGGUGCCAAGCAAAGAGCAAGUUCAUUCGCUAGCUGAGGAAUUGAAAAGCCGUUCAAGUAUCCCUGAUCAUGUUUACAAAGCAAUCGAUGCUCUUCCUGUAACUGCUCAUCCAAUGACACAGCUUACAACUGGAGUCAUGGCACUUCAAGUUCAAAGUGAGUUUCAGAAGGCAUAUGAUAACGGAAUAUCAAAACUCAAGUUUUGGGAGCCUACAUAUGAGGACUGUAUGAACUUAAUUGCUCGAAUUCCUUCAGUUGCUGCAUAUGUUUACCGGAGGAUUUACAAAGAUGGGCGAAUUAUACCCGCUGACAAAUCUCUGGACUAUGGUGCGAACUUUGCUCAUAUGCUUGGAUUUGAAGAUCCCAAAAUGCUGGAUUUGAUGAGACUCUAUGUCAUAAUUCACAGUGAUCAUGAAGGGGGGAAUGUUAGCUCACAUACGGCUCAUUUGGUUGCUACUCCCCUUUCGGAUCCUUACCUUGCAUUUGCUGCUGCACUAAAUGGUCUGGCUGGUCCACUCCAUGGCUUAGCCAAUCAGGAAGUGCUUUUAUGGAUCAAAUCUGUCGUUAAGAAGUAUGGCGAGAAUAUUACUUCCGAACAGGUGAAGGAGUAUGUUAACCAGACAUUAAACAGUGGCCAGGUUGUUCCUGGAUUUGGGCAUGGGGUUCUUCGGAAAACAGAUGCCAGAUAUACAUGCCUCAGGGAAUUUUCUUUGAAGAACUUGCCUGAUGAUCCACUGUUCAAGCUGGUUUCAAAGUUGUAUGAAGUUGUUCCACCCAUGCUUAUUGAAUUGGGGAAGGUCAAGAACCCAUGGCCCAAUGUUGAUGCUCACAGCGGAGUCGUGCUGAAUCAUUUUGGUUUAACAGAAGCCAAGUAUUUUACUGUUCUGUUUGGUGUUGCGAGGAGCAUCGGUGUAGGCCCCCAGCUCAUAUUGGACCGAAUUCUUGGUUUACCUCUUGAAAGGCCGAAGAGUGUCACCAUGGCAUGGCUAGAAGAGUACUGCAAAAAUGCUGCAAAAUGAGCUUUCUGGGUUAGGACUGGAAAUUUCAGACUAAUAAUGGAAAUACCUUUUGAGAGAUCAGCCAUAUGUGAUCUCAACAGGAAAUUAAACUCUCCAGAGUAGUGUUUAGCUCUCAGGCGAAAUUUUUUUUGUUGCCAUAUUUCUGGUUUCUGAAUUAAUGUCAUUGAAGGGUCUUUCAGUUUUUGUGGAAUAUUCGUUGCCG